AGCUACUUAGGAGGCUGAGGCACAAGAAUCGCUUGAACCUGGGAGGUUGACGUUGCAGUGAACUGGAAUCAGGCCACUGCACUCCAGCCUAGGCAACAGAGUGAGACCCUGUCUCAAAAAAAA